rnacentral:rRNA from 1 species
AUUGAACGCUGGCGGCAGGCUUAACACAUGCAAGUCGAGCGAGCGGCGGACGGGUGAGUAAUGUCUGGGAAACUGCCUGAUGGAGGGGGAUAACUACUGAAAACGGUAGCUAAUACCGCAUACCAUCAGAUGUGCCCAGAUGGGAUUAGCUAGUAGGUGGGGUAAGGGCUCACAUAGGCGACGAUCCCUAGCUGGUCUGAGAGGAUGACCAGCCGAACGGGAAAUGAGACACAGUCCAGCCUCCUACGGGAGGCAGCCGUGGGGAAUAUUGCACAAUGGGCGCAAGCCUGAUGCAGCCAUGCCGCGUGUGUGAAGAAGGCCUUCGGGUUGUAAAGCACUUUCAGCGAGGAGGCGUUACUCGCAGAAGAAGCACCGGCUAACUCCGUGCCAGCCGCCGCGGUAAUAC